AACGAACGCUGGCGGCAGGCUUAACACAUGCAAGUCGAGCGCCCCGCAAGGGGAGCGGCAGACGGGUGAGUAACGCGUGGGAACGUACCCUUUGCUACGGAAUAGCUCCGGGAAACUGGAAUUAAUACCGUAUGUGCCCUACGGGGGAAAGAUUUAUCGGCAAAGGAUCGGCCCGCGUUGGAUUAGCUAGUUGGUGGGGUAAUGGCCUACCAAGGCGACGAUCCAUAGCUGGUCUGAGAGGAUGAUCAGCCACAUUGGGACUGAGACACGGCCCCAACUCCUACGGGAGGCAGCAGUGGGGAAUAUUGGACAAUGGGCGCAAGCCUGAUCCAGCCAUGCCGCGUGAGUGAUGAAGGCCUUAGGGUUGUAAAGCUCUUUCACCGGAGAAGAUAAUGACGGUAUCCGGAGAAGAAGCCCCGGCUAACUUCGUGCCAGCCGCCGCAGUAAAAC
rnacentral:rRNA from 1 species